CCUUCCCUUUGCCUUUCACAGGGCUUGGAGUCACUGAAAAGAAAACAAAUACCAAUUUGGGGAAGGGAAGAGAAGAGAAGAGAAGAAAAGGUCUUUAAUAAAAAUCAGCCAUAAACAAAACUAGAAGAAGAAAAUCUAUCAAGACAACAUCCUAACUGACUAAAAAAAUCGAGGUGGGGGCGCCUGGGUGGCUCAGUCGGUUGAGCAUCCGACUUCGGCUCAGGUCAUGAUCUCACGGUCUGUGGGCUGAUGGCUCAGAGCCCGGAGCCUGCUUCCGAUUCUGUGUCUCCCUCUCUCUGCCCCUCCCCCGUUCAUGCUCUGUCUCUGUCUCAAAAAUAAAUAAAUGUUAAAAACAAAAAUUAAAAAAAAAAAAAAAAAAAAA